CGGAACGUGCCUAGUAGUGGGGGAUAACUACUCGAAAGAGUAGCUAAUACCGCAUGAGAUCUAAGGAUGAAAGCAGGGGACCUUUGGGCCUUGCGCUACUAGAGCGGCUGAUGGCAGAUUAGGUAGUUGGUGGGAUAAAAGCUUACCAAGCCGACGAUCUGUAGCUGGUCUGAGAGGACGACCAGCCACACUGGGACUGAGACACGGCCCAGACUCCUACGGGAGGCAGCAGUGGGGAAUUUUGGACAAUGGGCGAAAGCCUGAUCCAGCAAUGCCGCGUGUAGGAUGAAGGCCCUCGGGUUGUAAACUACUUUUGUACGGAACGAAAAGCUCUCUUCUAAUAAAGGAGAGUGAUGACGGUACCGUAAGAAUAAGCACCGGCUAACUACGUGCCAGCAGCCGCGGUAAUACGUAGGGUGCGAGCGUUAAUCGGAAUUACUGGGCGUAAAGCGUGCGCAGGCGGUUAUGUAAGACAGAGGUGAAAUCCCCGGGCUCAACCUGGGAACGGCCUUUGUGACUGCAUAGCUAGAGUACGGUAGAGGGGGAUGGAAUUCCGCGU
rnacentral:rRNA from 1 species